rnacentral:rRNA from 1 species
UCAUUAGUCUUUUAAUUGAAGGCUUGUAUGAAGGGUUGGACGAGAGAAAAACUGUCUCGGUCAAAAAAAUGAAAUUAACCUUUAGGUGAAAAGGCCUAAAUACAUUGAGAAGACGAUAAGACCCUAUAAAUCUUAAUACUAACUAAAUUUGGACUUUUAGUUUGUAUUUUAAAAAAGUACCAAAUUUUUUGUAUUUUGUUGGGGCGACAAAAACCAUAAAAAAAUUAUCUGUUUUAAAACUAAAUACAAUUCCUUUUUAAUUAAAGCAAAGAUCCUAUCUAAAGAUUAAAAGAUUAAGUUACUUAGGAUAACAGUCGUUA